rnacentral:tRNA from 1 species
CAUUAAGAAGCUAUGGAACAGCACUAGCCUUUUAAGCUAGAG